rnacentral:rRNA from 1 species
GAUUACUACMAGGAUAACCGUAGGAAUUCUAGAGCUAAUACUUGCACUUCANGGUGAUUUUUCAUCYGCACUUAUUAGAUUUACCACCAAUGCUCUUCGGAGCCUCGGUGAUUCAUAGUAAUUUAGCGGAUCCGUUAGCUUCGGCUGCGACGCUUCAUUCAAAUUUCUGCCCUAUCAGCUUUCGAUGGUAGUGUAUUGGACUACCAUGGCUUUGACGGGUAACGGAGAAUUAGGGUUCGAUUCCGGAGAGGGAGCCUGAGAAACGGCUACCACAUCUAAGGAAGGCAGCAGGCGCGCAAAUUACCCAAUCCCAACUCGGGGAGGUAGUGACAAGAAAUAACAACAACUAACCUAUUUCAGGUGAGUUGAUUGGAAUGAGUACAAUCUAAACACCUUAACGACUAUCCAUUGGAGGGCAAGCCUGGUGCCAGCAGCCGCGGUAAUUCCAGCUCCAAUAGCGUAUACUAAUGUUGUUGCAGUUAAAAAGCUCGUAGUCGGAUUUCAGUAGGCUCAGUUAAGUCUCACUUAUGAGUUCUUUAUGGGCCUGCUUCUUUGACAGAAACUUCUAUGUUAUUCAUUUAGCGUGGGUAGCGACUGUCUCUUUUACUUUGAGAAAAUUAGAGUGUUCAAAGCAGGUAUUCGCCUGAAUAUUACUCUUGGAAUAAUGCUAUAAGACUUUGGUUCUAAUGUAUUGGUGAUUGGGACCAGAGUAAUGAUUGAUAGGGACGGUUGGGGUCUUACGUACUGCAAAGCGAGAGGUGAAAUUCUUGGACCUUUGUAUGACGAACAACUGCGAAAGCAUUGGACUAGGACGUUCCCGUUGAUCAAGAACGAAAGUUGGGGGAUCGAAGACGAUCAGAUACCGUCGUAGUCUCAACCAUAAACUAUGCCAGCUAGGGAUCGGAGGAAGUUACAUGUUCGACUCCUUCGGCACCUUAUGAGAAAUCAAAGCAUUUGGGUUCCGGGGGGAGUAUGGUCGCAAGGCUGAAACUUAAAGGAAUUGACGGGAGGGCACCACCAGGAGUGGAGCCUGUGGCUUAAUUUGACUCAACACGGGAAAACUUACCAGGUCCGGACAUAGUAAGGAUUGACAGAUUGAAAGCUCUUUCUUGAUUCUAUGGGUGGUGGUGCAUGGCCGUUCUUAGUUGGUGGAGUGAUUUGUCUGGUUAAUUCCGUUAACGAACGAGACCUCAGCCUGCUAAAUAGUGCCUAUUUUCUUUCGAAGGUUAGCACUUCUUAGAGGGACUACUUGUGAAACAACCAAGCGGAAGCUUGAGGCAAUAACAGGUCUGUGAUGCCCUUAGAUGUUCUGGGCCGCACAUGGGCUACACUGGUGCAUUCAACAAGCAUAAUCACCUUAACCGAAGGGUUUGGGUAAUCUUUGAAAUUGCACCGUGCUUGGGAUAGACUAUUGCAAUUUUUAGUCUUCAACGAGGAAUUCCUAGUAAACGCAAGUCAUCAGCUUGCAUUGAUUACGUCCCUGCCCUUUGUACACACCGCCCGUCGCUCCUACCGAUUGGAUGAUUCGGUAAGCUUUUGGGAUUGAUUAGCUAACUGUCACUGACAUUAGCUUUUAACAACUUAAUCAAACCUAAUCAUCUAGAGGAAGGAGAAGUCGUAACAAGGUUUCCGUAGGUGAACCUGCGGAAGGAUCAUUGACAAAAUCUCACUAUAUGUGACGUGAACUCUUGUAUGUGUAGUAGUAAUACCCGUUUUGACAGAGGUUUAGCGAUUAGGUUGCGUUUUCGCUUGACUUCGGUUUCACUACUGCCAUUCCCCGGUAUAUGGUUGGGGCGCAACGUUUUUUUACUAGAACUGUAAUUGUUUUUAAUUCUGUGCUAUUUUGGCGCAAUUUAAAACAAACCACAUCACUUAACGAUGGAUCUCUUGGCUCAGAGUACGAUGAAGAACGGCGCGAAAUCCGAUACGUAAUGCGAACUGCAGGAUUCAGCGAAUCAUCAAAUCUUUGAACGCAUAUUGCACCUAUACCUCGGUAUAGGUAUGCGUGGUUCAGUCUUUGUAAACAACUUUCAAACACCUUAGUAAAAUAGGGUGUUAUGGAAAACGUCGGUAAGAUAGGCGACUGUCUUUCCGAUUAGUUUGAUCACCGCUUCGCGCUUGAUCACCUCUCUGGGUAGUUACUUGGAGCUGGAGGUUGAGUCCUGUGAAUGCGAAGGUCAAUACUUUAAAACGUUUAUCACUUAAGCUGAGCUCACGUAAGAAUACCCGCCGAAUUUAAACAUAUUAUUAAGCGGAGGAAAAGAAAAUAACUAUGAUUCCCUUAGUAGUGGCGAAUGAACAGGGAUCAGUUCAAGCCUUUAAUCCUGCACUUUAGUGCUAGGAGUUGUGGUCUUCUGCCGUAAUCCGUGUCGUCAUCUCGGCUAGAUCUUGUUGAAAUAUAGCGUCAUAGAGGGUUAUAACCCCGUCCGCUGAGAUAGUGUGCACAAGCGAUUCGGCAAGGUUGAGUCGUGCUACUUGGGACUGUAGCACUAAUUGGGAGGUAAUAUCCUUCUAAAACUAAAUAUUACUCUGAGACCGAUAGCGAACAAGUACCGUGAGGGAAAGAUGAAAAGGAAUUUGAAAAGAAUGUGAAAAGUACGUGAAAUCGUUAGGUGAAAGCGAAUAGCAUACCUUUGACGUAUACUUUAUGUUUGCAACGUAGUUGAGUUCAUACUUGUAUGUCUCUUCUUCACGCUUUCGUAUGGUAGAGGUUUGAUUGCUCUUGCUCGUACGUAGUUGUGUUCCGUUUUCCUUGAUAGUUCGCAAAAUGUGGCUGUCUUGGCUUAUUGUUCCGGCUGCGUCCGUUUAAGCGUCUAGACGUCAUCAUGGUGUUGUUAUCCGACCCGUCUUGAAACACGGACCAAGGAGUCUAACGUAUGUGCGAGUUCUUGAGUUGUAAACUCAUCGGCGUAGAGAAAUCGAAUUGUUAUUAACACUUUGGUGUUCCAUAACGGCUGUUUUGAUUCUUAGGAUAAAGACCGCUCGCUUGAGCAUGUAUGUUGGGACCCGAAAGAUGGUGAACUAUGCUUGUGCAGGUUGAAGGCAGGAGAAAUUCUGCUGGAGGACCGCAGAGAUACUGACGUGCAAAUCGUUCUUCAGACAUGAGUAUAGGGGCGAAAGACUAAUCGAACCAUCUAGUAGCUGGUUCCCUCCGAAGUUUCCCUCAGGAUAGCUGGAACUCGUAUGAGCCACGUGAGGUAAAGCGAAUGAUUGGAGGACUUGGGUUUGAAACAUUCUCUGCCUACUCUCAAACUUUAAAUGUGCGUGAACACUUGAUUGCUUAAUUGAAUCGGGUUGUAGGGUCUAGAGUUCUUAGUGGGCCAUUUUUGGUAAGCAGAACUGGCGAUGCGGGAUGCUCCGGAAGCUGGGUUWAGNGUGCCURAAUAUUCGCUCAUUCAGAUACCAUGAAAGGUGUUGGUUGAUUUAGACAGCAGGACGGUGGUCAUGGAAGUCGAAAUCCGCUAAGGAGUGUGUAACAACUCACCUGCCGAAUCAAGUAGCCCUGAAAAUGGAUGGCGCUCAAGCGAAUUACCGAUACUCAGCCAUCUGUGCUUUUGUGAUGCAUAGAUGAGUAGGAGGGCGUGAUGGUGGUGCAGAAGGUGUGGCGGUGACGUCCACUUGAACCACCAUUAGUGC